UGUCAGUCUACUGAACACCAAUGUGAGAUACUCUUCUCAAUGUGACAGAGAGCGAGAGAGAGAGAGGGAGAGAGAGGUGGGGGGGAGAGAGAGGAAGAAAGUAGAUGGAGUGUGAUUGGGGGAGGUUUAAGAUUACGGGCUAAUUUCCCUGUCGUUACCUGCCGACUGCGCCAUAUCCGUCCCUUUCUGUUUUUCAACAGGGAACAGUACAAUCUGUUAUACUGUAAUGAUGACUAGCUCUCCACCCACCAAUGAUUACCUGUAAUUAUGUGUUUUUCUUGCCCCCUCCCUAUCUGUCUCUGUCUGUCUGUCUGUCUGUCUGUCUGUCUGUCUGUCUGUCUGUCUGUCUGUCUGUCUGUCUGUCUGUCUGUCUCUCUCUCUCUCUCUCUCUCUCUCUCUCUCUCUCUCUACCUCUGUCUCUACCUCUGUCUCUACCUCUGUCUCUACCUCUGUCUCUACCUCUGUCUCCCCUCUCUCUCUCCUGGGCUAUUACCCUAACUGGCUGUUGUGAAGCAGGGAGGAGGUGUGUGGCGAACAAGGAAAGCUUUUAUGGACUCCCCACCAGCGACACUCCACGCGGCUCCAUUUUGAAAUUAUCGGGUCCCCUUGCUUUUGAAGUCACUGAGCUGGCAGAUGGAAGUGUGGAAAUGCUGGCUUCUGAGGACUUGGCUGCAGUGCCAUCUGCUGGUGUGAAAACAAACAGACUGCACAGGGGUAAAGCAACAACAACAACAACUGGUAAUCAGCAUCAUCAACAACAACAAACAUCUGAAGGUUUGGCUUGGGGAAGGCAAGUUAUCCAAAUAUUUCAAUGUGCUGUAUAUCGUGUUAGUCUUCAUUUUCUUCAGUUGUCUGGCUGUAUUGUGACCUACGGCACUUGCUAAGAUGACACUGUGUCGAGAAAGGUAUGGUAGUGACU
rnacentral:lncRNA from 13 species